GGAGUCUGGGCCGUGUCUCAGUCCCAAUGUGGCCGGUCAUCCUCUCAGAUCGGCUACCGAUCGUCGCCUUGGUGAGCCGUUACCUCCCCAACUAGCUAAUCGGACGCAGACCCAUCAUAAAGCGAUAGCUUACAAGUAGAGGCCAUCUUUAACUAUUCCUUCAUGCGAAUUAAUAGCAACAUUUGGUAUUAGCAGCUCUUUCGAGCUGUUGUCCCAAUCUUUAUGGCAGGUUGUCUACGCGUUACUCACCCGUUUGCCACUAAACUCAAAGGAGCAAGCCCCUCUAAGUCCCGUUCGACUUGCAUGUGUUAAGCACGCCGCCAGCGUUCGUCCUCGAGCCACUGAUCAAACUCU
rnacentral:rRNA from 1 species